rnacentral:rRNA from 1 species
UACGGAGGAUGCGAGCGUUAUCCGGAUUUAUUGGGUUUAAAGGGUGCGUAGGCGGAUUUUUAAGUCAGCGGUAAAAUGUCCGGGCUCAACCCGGGCCGGCCGUUGAAACUGGGGAUCUUGAGUGGGCGAGAAGUAUGCGGAAUGCGUGGUGUAGUGGUGAAAUGCAUAGAUAUCACGCAGAACUCCGAUUGCGAAGGCAGCAUACCGGCGCCCGACUGACGCUGAGGCACGAAAGCGUGGGGAUCGAACAGG